GUCCCCGUCGUCUAGCCCGGCCUAGGACACCGCCCUUUCACGGCGGCAACACGGGUUCGAAUCCCGUCGGGGACG
rnacentral:tRNA from 1 species